AGAUUGAAAAACGAGGUGAAUUCGGGGAACUCCAUUCUAAACGGACAAUCCCGAGCCAAGCCCGCCGAUGAGACGGGAAGGUGUAGAGACUAUCUCGAAAGAGAGUACCCUGACUCAAUGUCAGGGGAAGCGCCUCGCAUCCCAAACGGGAUGAUGAUAUAGUCCAUCCCUAGAGGUAACUUUAGG
rnacentral:ncRNA from 1 species